rnacentral:rRNA from 1 species
GAUGAACGCUGGCGGCGUGCCUAAUACAUGCAAGUCGAGCGAACAGACGAGGAGCUUGCUCCUCUGACGUUAGCGGCGGACGGGUGAGUAACACGUGGAUAACCUACCUAUAAGACUGGGAUAACUUCGGGAAACCGGAGCUAAUACCGGAUAAUAUAUUGAACCGCAUGGUUCAAUAGUGAAAGACGGUUUUGCUGUCACUUAUAGAUGGAUCCGCGCCGCAUUAGCUAGUUGGUAAGGUAACGGCUUACCAAGGCGACGAUGCGUAGCCGACCUGAGAGGGUGAACGGCCAAGUAGGAACUGGGACACGGUCCAGACUCCUACGGGAGGCAGCAGUAGGGAAUCUGCCGCAAGGGGCGAAAGCCUAACGGAGCAACGCCGCGUGAGUGAUGAAGGUCUUCGGAUCGUAAAACUCUGUUAGUAGGGAAGAACAAAUGUGUAAGUAACUAUGCACGUCUUGACGGUACCUAAUCAGAAAGCCACGGCUAACUACG